rnacentral:rRNA from 1 species
AUGAACGCUAGCGGCAGGCUUAACACAUGCAAGUCGAGGGGCAGCAUGAGGGUUAGCAAUAACCUUUGAUGGCGACCGGCGCAAGGGUGCGUAACGCGUGAGCAACUUGCCCGUUUCUGGGGGAUAACCGGUGGAAACGCCGACUAAUACCCCAUAGUAUUGAUUUCAGGCAUCUGUUAUCAAUUAAAGAAUUUCGGAAACGGAUAGGCUCGCGUGACAUUAGCUAGAUGGCGGGGUAACGGCCCACCAUGGCUACGAUGUCUAGGGGUUCUGAGAGGAAGGUCCCCCCACACUGGAACUGAGACACGGUCCAGACUCCUACGGGAGGCAGCAGUGAGGAAUAUUGGUCAAUGGUCUGACGACUGGACCAGCCAUGCCGCGUGAAGGUGACGGCCCUAUGGGUCUUAAACUUCUUUUGUAAGGGAGCAAUAAGUUCUACGUGUAGGAUGAUGAGAGUACCUUACGAAUAAGCAUCGGCUAACUCCGUG